rnacentral:lncRNA from 1 species
GUGCAUCUAAUUAAUAAUUAAUUAUCUAACUAAUUAAUUAAAUUAAUAUUUAAUUAAUUUUUAGUGACAACACUCUAGCCAUCACUAAUGCCGUCACUAAUAGUAGACAACAUUUGUCAUCGCUAAUGCCAUCGCUAAUACUCAUAAUGCUGAUGCGUGGAUGGAUCGUGGAGUAGAUGCAGCGGGAUAGGGCCGAGGCAGCGGGGCUGGGGGCGGUGGGGCCGGGGUGAGGGCCAUGGGGCUAUGGGCUAAGGGCAGUGGGG